AUUGGGAUGAUGAAAUGAAUCAGACGGAUUCCCACUGAUUACUUGGUCGCAAGUAAUAUGACGUCGCAACCAGCUACUUCUGACUGUC